GACUCGGUGGCGGGUGGUCCGCGUCUGCGCUUGCUAGGUGGAUCUGAGUCGAAAGUCGCUUGGCAGAAGGUGCCUGUUCGAAUCAGGCUCGAGUCA